rnacentral:tRNA from 1 species
GGGGCUAUGGCGCAGUUGGUAGCGCACUACACUGGCAGUGUGGGGGUCACGGGUUCGAAUCCCGUUAGCUCCACCG